rnacentral:rRNA from 1 species
CGUGAAAGUGUUGAAAGGGAAGCGUUUAUGACCAGACUUGGACUUGGUUAAUCAUCUGGGGUUCUCCCCAGUGCACUUUUCCAGUUCAGGCCAGCAUCAGUUUUCCCCGGGGGAUAAAGGCGGCGGGAAUGUGGCUCUCUUCGGGGAGUGUUAUAGCCCGCCGUGUAAUACCCUGGGGGGGACUGAGGUUCGCGCAUCUGCAAGGAUGCUGGCGUAAUGGUCAUCAACGACCCGUCUUGAAACACGG